rnacentral:misc_RNA from 1 species
GAUGAAGAACGCAGCGAAAUGCGAUACGUAAUGUGAAUUGCAGAAUUCAGUGAAUCAUCGAAUCUUUGAACGCAUAUUGCGCUCUCUGGUAUUCCGGAGAGCAUGCUUGUUUGAGUAUCAGUAAACACCUCAACUCUUUUUUCUUUUUUGAAAUUGGAGCUGGACUUGAGUGAUCCCAACGCUUUCUUCCAAGAAAGUGGCGGGUUGCUUGAAAUGCAGGUGCAGCUGAACUUUUCUCUGAGCUAUAAGCAUAUCUAUUUAGUCUGCCUAAAAAACAGAUUAUUACCUUUGCUGCAGCUAACAUAAAGGAGACUAGUUCUUGUGCUGACUGAUACAGGAUUCACAGAGACAGCUUCGGCUGACUUUGUAAACUCGAUCUCAAAUCAAGUAAGACUACCCGCUGAACUUAAGCAUAUCAAUAAGCGGAGGA